rnacentral:rRNA from 1 species
AUUUGAGUGAGUGGCGGACGGGUGAGUAACACGUGGGUAACCUGCCCUAAAGUGGGGGAUAACAUUUGGAAACAGAUGCUAAUACCGCAUAAAACCUAACACCGCAUGGUGUAGGGUUGAAAGAUGGUUUCGGCUAUCACUUUAGGAUGGACCCGCGGUGCAUUAGUUAGUUGGUGAGGUAAAGGCUCACCAAGACCGUGAUGCAUAGCCGACCUGAGAGGGUAAUCGGCCACACUGGGACUGAGACACGGCCCAGACUCCUACGGGAGGCAGCAGUAGGGAAUCUUCCACAAUGGACGAAAGUCUGAUGGAGCAACGCCGCGUGAGUGAAGAAGGUUUUCGGAUCGUAAAACUCUGUUGUUGGAGAAGAAUGUAUCUGAUAGUAACUGAUCAGGUAGUGACGGUAUCCAACCAGAAAGCCACGGCUAACUACGUGCCAGCAGCCGCGGUAAUACGUAGGUGGCAAGCGUUGUCCGGAUUUAUUGGGCGUAAAGCGAGCGCAGGCGGUUUCUUAAGUCUGAUGUGAAAGCCUUCGGCUCAACCGAAGAAGUGCAUCGGAAACUGGGAAACUUGAGUGCAGAAGAGGACAGUGGAACUCCAUGUGUAGCGGUGAAAUGCGUAGAUAUAUGGAAGAACACCAGUGGCGAAGGCGGCUGUCUGGUCUGUAACUGACGCUGAGGCUCGAAAGCAUGGGUAGCAAACAGGAUUAGAUACCCUGGUAGUCCAUGCCGUAAACGAUGAGUGCUAGGUGUUGGAGGGUUUCCGCCCUUCAGUGCCGCAGCUAACGCAUUAAGCACUCCGCCUGGGGAGUACGACCGCAAGGUUGAAACUCAAAGGAAUUGACGGGGGCCCGCACAAGCGGUGGAGCAUGUGGUUUAAUUCGAAGCAACGCGAAGAACCUUACCAGGUCUUGACAUCCUUUGACCACUCUAGAGAUAGAGCUUUCCCUUCGGGGACAAAGUGACAGGUGGUGCAUGGUUGUCCUCACCUCGUGUCGUGAGAUGUUGGGUUAAGUCCCGCAACGACCCCACCCUUAUUACUAGUUGCCAGCAUUUAGUUGGGCACUCUAAUGAGACUGCCGGUGACAAACCGGAGGAAGGUGGGGACAACGUCAAAUCAUCAUGCCCCUUAUGACCGGGC